rnacentral:rRNA from 1 species
GACGAACGCUGGCGGCGUGCUUAACACAUGCAAGUCGAGCGGUAAGGCUCCUUCGGGAGUACACGAGCGGCGAACGGGUGAGUAACACGUGAGUAACCUGCCCCAAUCAUCGGGAUAACCAUUGGAAACGAUGGCUAAUACCGAAUACGACCACCGAAGGCAUCUUCUGGUGGUGGAAAGCUCCGGCGGAUUGGGAUGGACUCGCGGCCUAUCAGCUUGUUGGUGAGGUAAUGGCUCACCAAGGCAACGACGGGUAGCCGGCCUGAGAGGGUGACCGGCCACACUGGGACUGAGACACGGCCCAGACUCCUACGGGAGGCAGCAGUGGGGAAUAUUGGACAAUGGGCGCAAGCCUGAUCCAGCAACGCCGCGUGAGGGAUGACGGCCUCGGUUGUAACCGUACUUUCUACGUAGGGACGAAGCGAAAGUAGACGGUACCGUACCAGAAGAAGGAACCGGCCGAACUACCGUAGCCAGCAGCCGCGGUAAACGUAGUGUGUA